rnacentral:rRNA from 1 species
GACGAACGCUGGCGGCGUGCUUAACACAUGCAAGUCGAACGGUGAAGGGACCAGCUUGCUGGUUCUGGAUGAGUGGCGAACGGGUGAGUAACACGUGAGUAACCUGCCCCCUUCUUCUGGAUAACCGCAUGAAAGUGUGGCUAAUACGGGAUAUUCUGGGUCUGUCGCAUGGCGGGCCCGGGAAAGAUAUUGCUUCGGUGGGGGAUGGGCUCGCGGCCUAUCAGCUUGGUGGUGGGGUGAUGGCCUACCAAGGCGGUGACGGGUAGCCGGCCUGAGAGGGUGGACGGUCACACUGGGACUGAGACACGGCCCAGACUCCUACGGGAGGCAGCAGUGGGGAAUAUUGCACAAUGGGCGCAAGCCUGAUGCAGCGACGCCGCGUGAGGGAUGGAGGCCUUCGGGUUGUAAACCUCUUUCGCCAGUGAAGCAGGCCUGCUCCUUGUGGGUGGGUUGACGGCAGCUGGAUAAGAAGCGCCGGCUAACUACGUG